AUAAAAUUCGGCAGUCCGAGGACCCCAUUAUUCAGGACUCCCCCACCCGCCGCCUCCUAUGCCGCAAUCAGCCCUGUCUUUCAAACCCAUACCUCUAGAUCGCAGGCCCUCAUGGCGCCGCCAUCAAUCCCCUGUACUUGUACUCUGGUGAUGCCUAUUCCGUCUUCCCGUCUUCCGCGAGGGGAUCCAGCGCGAGGAAUCCAGCGGACGCGCGGGAUGCGGAUGCCCGAUCCUCGCGCGACAUGCAGCGUGGAGUCUCCCAACUUCAUGCCGGAGCCCGAACAGUGGAUCCGUUCUUCGAUCUCCCGUGCCGGUGGUCGAGGCAUGGCGAUGUGCCGAUGCAGCUCCCGAUUUCUUAACGGUAUGGGUAUGUUACUACCUCAAUUUCCGUCAGAUUUUUCUUGGAGUUGGUUGACACAGAGGCUAUCCAAUCCUGAUUCGCUCCCUUCCCAACAUAAAAAAGAAAAAGUAUCCAGUGAGACCUAGGUGUGCCCCGGCCAUUGCGGGUCCGUCACCCGGACAGCGGGAUGUCCGAGUCCCCUACUCCCCUCUACUCAGCCGCUCGACGUCAUGUGGGGAGGGGCUGAAGAGAAAGGAUGGUGGCGGAGGUGAGUAUGGGUGGGAUGUGCCGUGGCCGGACAGUCGCAUAUCCUCUCUCUCUCUCAUUUUUCGUUGAGGACAUGUUUGAUCCGCAGUGUCUCAGGUGGGCGGGAAGAAGUGAGAAAAAGCAAGAGGAACCCAAGACAUGUUGUGGCGACCAGGUGAUGCAGGACUGGCAGAACCCUAGCUGGUGGAGGCCGCCAUGAGAUCGUGCAGAGGGAGGCGGACAGGAGAAGGCCGAUGGGUGUUUCAGUCAGUGCUACAGAAUCACCGCUGGUCUUUGCUCGCUGCCUCCUACUUCGCAGCUAGAGGGAGCGACAACUCUGAAGCAUGGGGAAAAGAAAUGCCAGGAGCCUUAGUAUCCGGUGCAAGCCGGAGGAGCUGCCUAAAUGCAUGUGGAGAGGUUCAUAUUACUGAGUAGUGUAAUAUUUAGAACAUUUAGUGAUAAAUUAAAAUCUUCUCUUUGGAAUGUGGUUGAGUCGUUAAGAUCUGUUAAUUUCUAGACAUUAUCUCGGUAAUUAGUGUGAAUUGAGCUUUAUGAUUCCUUCUUGGUGCAAGGAAUUUCUAGACAUGACGACAAUAUCUAUGUACGUCAACGGUUGCUUUGGUUUAACAUUUUUUUACGAAGCAUAAGCCAGAAAGUCCUAUGGUAUAUGAAACACGAUUUUGGUUUAUGGUUGAGUUGCUUGAUGGAAGUCGUGGCAAUCUAAAUGAUAAGAAGCAAUUUUGCCCUCUGAUUAUUGUCAUGUAGCUUCAAAAGGUAUGGUUCAGAUGGUUAAAUUUUAUUUAAUCCCUUUUGGGGUCCCUACUGAAAAUUAUCAUUGUGUACGUUUUUGCUUCAUAGAGCUUUGAUAGCAUGCUUCAUUUAACUUUUAGCCCUGCGAUCAUCUAGAGUUGUUUGAGCGCAGUGGGCAAAGUUAUUACUUUUACUAUGUGGAGGUCCCAAACAAUCUUCUUCCUAUGGUUCACAUGGUUCAUCUUGCAGGCAAGAGGAAUCAUUUAUUGUUUGAGACACAAUCUCUCUCUUAACAUGUUUUUCUUGUUGAUCAUAUUCAUAUGGCUAUACGUUUCUUCUUGAGCACAUACAGUUGAACAUUAUACUAAUGUGUUUCUCUCAAUCUCCACAGAUUACGAAGUUAGUGUAUGAAGUAAUCAUCUAUAACAAAGAAAUAUCAGUCGAUGGUUGUGGAUUUCUGAUUAGAUAUUUCAGCAGGAUGUCUAAUAUAUUUUUUGCCAAGCAGUACCCACAAUUCGGCACAUCCAAAUAUUAACUUCAUCGACCAAGUCUGUUUUGGCGCUCCACACAUUUAAUGAAUAUGUCCCCACUUGAAUCUUGCUUCAUGGUCGUUCAAGCGUUCAAACGACACAUUGCAAGAUGGAGUAUGUUGAUAAAAUGAUGGAUAUAUUCUUUAAUUCAAAAGGUUCUGGUCUCCAUAUGACCCCACAAAAGUCUGGGCUGUUACUAGAUUGUUGCUUUCACUUAAAACAGCAGGCUCUUAAUUACUCUGAACAAAGUUUGAAAUUAGUCCAGUGGUGACCCAUGUGAAGCACUUAUAUGCCAUAUGCUUGUCUUGAACAUAACUUGUUCGUUCAACAUAUGCUUUUCUUUUGAGCUUAUUUGUUUUAUCUGUAUUGACUUGGUUUUGGCACUUGUUUGCUGCAUCGGAGUAUCUGUUCAGUAAUAGUGUUAAAAUUCUGAAACUUCCAUAUAGUGUAGAGAUCUCUGUAUUCUAUGCAUGUUACUGACUUACAACUAUUGAUUAACUCUCCUUUCCUCUUUAUUCUUCCAAGAUAAAAACUCACCUCGCCUACUAUUGUACUCCUUUGCUAUGAACUCAUUGAAAUUACUCAGUAGAAAACUAAGUAUGGCAUCUCCCAUGAUGCCUCUACAAUAGUUUUUUUGGCUCAAUGUAUUGAAACUUUUUUUAAAAUUUCUGAUAAACAUGGUCGCAUAUGUAAAUUUAUAUUCUGUAUUUAUGUCUAUAUAUUUACUUUGUGCAAUCUUCUAUAUAUCUUAUAGAUUUCUAAUAAAUUGGGACUCCAUGUCUUCACUUCGUUCUUCCAAUACACUUCACUUCAUUCUUUCUAGAUUUUGUAUCAAUGUUCUUACAUAAAAUUCUAACACCUCAUACAACAUCCAAAAUAAACGGGCGCGGCAACACACGCCAUCAAGAUGUAGCUGCUUCCCAGGCAACAAGGCUUCUCUUUUUUUUUCUGCUUUGUGUGGUUAAUCUAUAUGAUUCCAAAAAUCAUCAUGAAGUUCAAGAAUCACAUUUGAAUCAAAGCAUGGAUGUUAUGAAAGAACCAUUAGUUCAAAUCUCUGCGAAAAACAUUAUCUGCAACAUGAUGCAUUGCAUUUUAGUAAAUAACUCCUCAAAUGGGAUGCUAUGUCAUAUUAUUAUGGAAAUGGAAUGGUUAUAUUCUUAGCAUGAUUAGUUAAAAAUAUUAUUUGCUACACCCUUCUGCUUUAGAUUUGUGCUUACUUUUGAUAUUAACAUAUAUUUUAUUUUAUUUAAAUUCCUAUAAUUGUAUCGCCAUAACAUACGGGCGCGGCAACGCGCGCCAUCGAUGAUCUAGUUUUGUUUUAUAAUGCGCAUAGUUGUGAAAAUGCCCCGCAGCUCUUGGUCUGUCCCAUGACCACAUCAACAGAUUAGCAGAGAAGACUGAGUGGAUACGGUGAUGUUGGCCAGAGACGUGGAAACGCAGGCGACUUGGCCAUCUUUGCUGAACAUCGACCUGGCCUGCUCCGUCCGUCAGUAUUGCCGUCCAUGAUACUUGGCGAUGAUGGCAUCCUUUAGCCAGGACAUCUUGCGGCUGUGUGCCUCCACGCGACAUUUGGUCCGGCCGCUCGUCGUGACAAUAGGAGUACUAGUGAAUGCUGAAGCUGAGCACACACACGAAUUGUAAUUUGGAGAAGGCAGUCAAAGCGCCGGCUUGCGGAGAGGCCGUGGCAGCUGCAGCAGGCGGCUCGGAGCAACGGCGGCUCAAGGCCACGGAGGCGGCUGCUCACCGGUCUCAGCAGCGGAGCCAACAGGCCAUCGAGGUAGGCCGCGACGAAAGCGGCGGCUUGUGAGCGGCGACGGCGGCUUUCAUCUGUUUAACUUUGUUAUGUUCUGACCACUAUAAUCACAUGAGGUAGAGGAGAUUUCCUGAGGAAGCUUCAGGACCUCCUGUAUUAAUUCCUUAGCAAACUGAAAUUUAAGCGAUUUCUGACGAGUCCACUCAAGUGAACAAUUUCUUCAGAUUUUCCUGACAAAUUUGCACCUGCUGUGUUCCCUGACUGUGCUACUGGAAAGAUGUUGAUAGCUCAAGGCGAGGCAAACCAUGGCGGGGCAGCAGGCCGGCUCAAGGCGUGGCCGUCGGCCGCAGCAGUGGAGGCGGGUCGGCGUGGCAGCCCGAAGAUGGAGGCGGCUUAGAGAAAACGGUGGCUCAGCAUGGCCGCGCUGCAGAGGCCCUCAGCAAGGAGACGCAGGGCGGGUCGCAGCAGAGAUGCGGGCCGGCAGGCACGACCAGUGAGAUGAAGGGCGGAGUCCGCGGGUGAGGGGGAGGUUGAGCGCGACUUGAGGUGGCGCAGAGGGUCGCCGUGGCGAAGCGAGGUCGGUGUGACGAGUCGACACCGGAGCGGCUCGUGGCAAGGUCGAGUCAGCGAAGCCACGACGGCUCAGAGCAUGGAUGAGCGGGGGCGGCUCAAAAGCAAUGGUGAAGUGGCCGGUGACCCAGACCAGAGCCGAUUCGGAAGCAGCCGGCGACUCAGGCCGGAGGCAACUCGCGGAGGUGGAAGUAGGCUGGUCAACCGCAGCGACUCAGCGACGGCGGCACAAGCCAACCGCAGGGCGGACGACCGGCGGAGCAACGGCGGCUCGAUGGCGGAAUCCACUUCCGAAUCGUGGGUUGUUUCCCUUUUCUUCUUUCCUCUUCUUUUUUAUCAGAUUCCAUUUCAGAUCCGCCUCCGGACUUCCUUUUGUGCAAUUCACGCGGUUGCUUGAUACA